UCAUGUUCAAGUUCUAGUAACAACAACAUUGAGGUCUCUUCAAAUCAUCACGAAAAUGGCUAUGCUGAUUUUUAAUCAAGAAUAAUCAACAUUCUUAAUUAACUAAUUUUCUAUAUGCAUGCUAGAGGGUGAUCGAUCCAUGUAUCAAAAUAUUGUAAUAUGCUUAUCGUUGAUGUUUUUAUAAUUCAAUAUAUAGUACGUAGUAAUGUAAUUUCAUUAAGCUCUCCAUGUGUUACAUAAGCUCAAGAUUAUAUAAUUCAG
rnacentral:lncRNA from 1 species